rnacentral:rRNA from 1 species
UAGGGAAUCUUCCACAAUGGACGCAAGUCUGAUGGAGCAACGCCGCGUGAGUGAAGAAGGUUUUCGGACCGUAAAGCUCUGUUGUUGGUGAAGAAGGAUAGAGGUAGUAACUGGCCUUUAUUUGACGGUAAUCAACCAGAAAGUCACGGCUACUACGUGCCAGCAGCCGCGGUAAUACGUAGGUGGCAAGCGUUGUCCGGAUUUAUUGGGGCGUAAAGCGAGCGCAGGCGGAAGAAUAAGUCUGAUGUGAAAGCCCUCGGCUUAACCGAGGAACUGCAUCGGAAACUGUUUUUCUUGAGUGCAGAAGAGGAGAGUGGAACUCCAUGUGUAGCGGUGGAAUGCGUAGAUAUAUGGAAGAACACCAGUGGCGAAGGCGACUCUCUGGUCUGCAACUGACGCUGAGGCUCGAAAGCAUGGGUAGCGAACAGGAUUAGAUACCCUGGUAGUCCAUGCCGUAAACGAUGAGUGCUAAGU